CCUCGCCCCCCGCGCUCACACACUAGCUGCCUUCACAGGAAGGGCGCGGCUGUUUGCAUAGAUGAUGAAGCAGAUGGGUUAUCUUGUCCAAAAGAUAAAAAUGCGCAUUUCCCUUCUAAAGUAUGGAACCUCAAGGUCUUGGUGAGAAUGGAAACAAAAAAAUUGAUUGGCAAAUCGCUUCAACCAGCAAGACCUGUUCGUCAUCUGACUUCUCCCUCUGGAGCAGUAUUCCCUUUCAACUUUCAAAAUGAAUAUCCAUGCAACACUCAGUACUUGCAAAGCGGAGUUAGCCGAUGUAAGACGAAUGGAAUGCAGGCCUUUUCUCCGGGCCUCAGCGAGCAAACGCAACAUCAGUCUCCAGUUAAAAAAGAGAGAAUUAAAUACAGCAGAGAUUUCCUGUUGAAGCUCUCCAGUGUUUCCAUCUGCAGGAAAAAACCAGACUUUCUUCCUGAUCAUCCCAUUGUACUUCAAAAACCAGAAAACAACCAAAGUUUUAAGGAGCACUUUAAGAACAGAUGAAUUUGAAGAUAGAUAAUUAUUUGUUUUAUGUUUUGGACACCUGCAAAUGAAGUGGAUCUAGUAACAAUAACUACCAGCACUGAGAGGGUCUCUUCAACCUGUGGCUGAGGACGCGUCUGCGCAGGGCAGGCUCAGUGACACGGGGGCAUGUUUAGAUCGUCUUUGCAGAUAGAUGUCUCCAAUAACAUUGUCUAAGGGUCACCGUUACCAGCAAAGGGUGACAAUUUGGAAACAAUAGCAGUGAACAAAACUGAAGGUGAAACGUGCUGAUCAGACCCCAUGAACAAAAGUAAUUGCAAAACCCAUUCUUAUUUCCAAAGAGGAAAAAUUAGGCGUUUGCAACCAGUUGAGGUGCAUUAAGAUUCAGUUCUGUAAUUUCUUUUAUUUCUUAUAACAAGAAUAUGUAUAGAUGAAGAAUUUGAGGGCUUAAAAACUUUUAGUUCCUGGAAUUUUUAUACCAUCUCUUGGAAUUUGUCACUCUGGGUAUGACUUCUAGUCCUAAAGGUUCACUCCAGCACAGUGCCAAACAGUAUCACUGACAGAAAG